rfam:Oryza glumipatula chromosome 4, whole genome shotgun sequence.
CUUAAUUGUUCGGUUUCCGUAUCCAACGUUUAACCGUCCAUUUUAUAUGAAAUUUUUUUAUGAUUAGUAUUUUCACUAUUGUUAGAUGAUAAAACAUAAAUAAUACUUUAUAUAUGACUUAUCUUUUUAAAUUUUUUCAUAUUAUUUUCAAAUAAGACGAACGGUCAAAUGUUAGGCACGGAAACCCAGGAAUUGAGUUUUU